ensembl:misc_RNA Y_RNA Y RNA
GGCUGGUCCGAAGGUAGUGAGUUAUCUCAACUGAUUGUUCACAGUCAGUUACAGAUCGAACUCCUUGUUCUACCCUUUCCCCCCUUCUCACUACUGCACUUUACUAGUCUUUU